UGGGGAAUAUUGGACAAUGGGCGAAAGCCUGAUCCAGCCAUGCCGCGUGAGUGACGAAGGCCUUAGGGUUGUAAAACUCUUUCGUCGGGGACGAUAAUGACGGUACCCGAAGAAGAAGCUCCGGCUAACUUCGUGCCCGCAGCCGCGGUAAUACGAAGGGAGCUAGCGUUGUUCGGAAUCACUGGGCGUAAAGCGCACGUAGGCGGAUAGUUAAGUCAGGGGUGAAAUCCUGGGGCUCAACCCCAGAACUGCCUUUGAUACUGGCUGUCUCGAGGUCGAGAGAGGUUGGUGGAAUUCCUAGUGUAGAGGUGAAAUUCGUAGAUAUUAGGAAGAACACCAGUGGCGAAGGCGGCCAACUGGCUCGGUACUGACGCUGAGGUGCGAAAGCGUGGGGAGCAAACAGGAUUAGAUACCCCCGUAGUCCCUGAGCGGGCUGGCAAGGCGCAU
rnacentral:rRNA from 1 species